rnacentral:rRNA from 1 species
CCUACGGGGGGCAGCAGUGAGGAAUAUUGGUCAAUGGACGAGAGUCUGAACCAGCCAAGUAGCGUGAAGGAUGACUGCCCUAUGGGUUGUAAACUUCUUUUAUAUGGGAAUAAAAUGUUCCACGUGUGGGAUUUUGUAUGUACCCUAUGAAUAAGGACCGGCUAACUCCGUGCCAGCAGCCGCGGUAAUACGGAGGAUCCGAGCGUUAUCCGGAUUUAUUGGGUUUAAAGGGAGCGUAGGUGGGUUGUUAAGUCAGUUGUGAAAGUUUGCGGCUCAACCGUAGAAUUGCAGUUGAAACUGGCAGUCUUGAGUGCAGUAGAGGUGGGCGGAAUUCGUGGUGUAGCGGUGAAAUGCUUAGAUAUCACGAAGAACUCCGAUUGCGAAGGCAGCUCGCUGGACUGCAACUGACACUGAGGCUCGAAAGUGUGGGUAUCAAACAGGAUUAGAUACCCUUGUAGUC